AAAAUGGCAACUACUAAAUCUGUUUUAGUUUUAAUUUUUAUGAUAUUAGCAACUACUAGUUCAACAUUUGCUACGUUGGGAGAAAUGGUGACUGUUCUUAGUAUUGAUGGAGGUGGAAUUAAGGGAAUCAUUCCGAGUAUCAUUCUCGAAUUUCUUGAAAGACAACUUCAGAAAAUGGACAAUAAUGCAGAUGCAAGACUUGCAGAUUACUUUGAUGUAAUUGGAGGAACAAGUACAGGAGGUUUAUUGACUGCUAUGAUAACUACUUCAAAUGAAAACAAUCGACCCUUUGCAGCUGCUAAAGAUAUUGUACCUUUUUACUUCCAACAUGGCCCUCAUAUUUAAUUCUAUACUGGCCAAUUUUUUGGCCCAAAAUAUGAUGGAAAAUAUCUUAUGCAAGUGCUUCAAGAAAAACUUGGAGAAACUCGUGUGCAUCAAGCUUUGACAGAAGUUGCCAUCUCAAGCUUUGACAUCAAAACAAAUAAGCCAGUAAUAUUCACCAAGUCAAAUGUAAGUCAAAAUAAUUACAGUCAUGAUUUGUAAACAAGUGAAUUUCUUAUUUAUUUUCUAGUACGUUACUUUAUUACUCAUACUAGUAAUGGUGAUAAAUAUGAGUUCAAUCUUGUUGAUGGUGCUGUUGCUACUGUUGCUGAUCCGGCGUUAUUAUCCGUUAGCGUUGCAACGAGACGUGCACAAGAGGAUCCAGCAUUUGCUUCAAUUAGGUCAUUAAAUUACAAGCAAAUGUUGUUGCUCUCAUUAGGCACUGGCACUAAUUCAGAGUUUGAUAAAACACAUACAGCAGAAGAGACAGCUACUUGGGGUGCUCUACAAUGGAUGUUGGUUAUACAGCAAAUGACUGAGGCAGCAAGUUCUUACAUGACUGAUUAUUACCUUUCUACUGUUUUUCAAGCUCUUCAUUCACAAAACAAUUACCUCAGGGUUCAAGAAAAUGCAUUAACAGGCACAACUACUAAAGCGGAUGAUGCUUCUGGGGCUAAUAUGGAAUUAUUAGUACAAGUUGGUGAAAAUUUAUUGAAGAAACCAGUUUCCAAAGACAAUCCUGAAACCUAUGAGGAAGCUCUAAAGAGGUUUGCAAAAUUGCUUUCUGAUAGGAAGAAACUUCGAGCAAACAAAGCAUCUUAUUAAUUCAAGGUCUCGGGUUGUAAUUGUAAAUUUAUUAUGCUAAAUAAUAAGCGCUUGCAAAGUUUAUGAGGGAUAAAUUUCAUUAGAAAUGUCUCUCUAUGUAAUGUGUUGGAUUAUGUAACCUUUUGGUUGUGUUUAAUGUUUGAAUAAAUUAUAUAUGGUGACAUUGGAAUCUU